UAUAUGAAGCUUUUGUGCGUCGGGGCCCGGCAGCCGCGGCGGCCCCGCUCCCCGGCUGACUCUCUUUACAGUGGAAACGUACAGUAAUUAACACGGGUUCCGCUCCCGCCAGCGCCCGGAGUUGAAGGGGGCCGCCGCCUCCGCGCGCCUGGGAACCCGGGCCCGCCGCAGAGGCCCGCAUUUGUCCACCUGAGAACGCCGCGGCGCAUUUGUAAACCUUGGCCCCGCGGCCCGAGAGCCAUCCAUUUUGGCUCCGAGAUGCCGGGCUGUCUGGGCGCGCGGUGGCCCCCGCAUGUGUUGCUAAUAAAAGUCAAGCGCGUUCCUUUACCCCGCGAGCUCGCGGCAGGGGGCACCACCCGGGCCGGGGGAGGAAGCCCCGGGGCCAGCCCAGUGUCAGCACUAGAGGGAUGCAAUGUUCAGUUUUGAGCUCUGUAAGAAGGAAAGCAGUGUAUUAGACCAGUAAUCACUGAAGUAAAUCGGCUCCUGCCUGUGUUUGAGCGUCACGGUGAGCAAGGUGUCCGGAAUGGAGUUCAGAAUGCUCCUUGGGAGGUGAUGUACAAAGAAAUCGAGUUCCAGAGAGGUUGCGUGCCUGGCCCCAGAGUCGGUGGAGCGAAGGCUUGAACCCAGCAGCACUGACCUGGAGGCCCUGUCUGUCUGGACCCCCUCGGAAGCCCUUUGGCUCCUUUGGAGUGUUCAGUAACCUGCAGGAUUCUGUGCCACGCUUUUCCAUUUGUUUCAAGAGUUCUUCCUUCAUACUUCCCUCUACCUGGAAAAGGAAGACUAAUGCUGAAUAGUCCUCUUUCCUAUCCCAUUCUCUUCAAUGUGAAUAUAGGACAACCGAAAAGAACGUUGUAAAACGGAACAGUUGGCAGCUCCUGGGUGUGGUGGUUUUUUCUUGCUUUAUCCCAUCUGCUUGCUUUGCCUGAGGAGUUGAUGAAUCAGUUGGACACCUGUGAAGCCAAUCUUUGUGGAAGAGGUGAAAUUGUAGUCAGUACUCACCCACCACCAUCACCACCACCCCGCCACCUGCCAGGAUUCACCUCCUAAGGCUGCACAAAUAUUAUCCUCCCCUGACCUCCAAUCUGCCAGCUACAGUGACUGACUUAAUCCCUAAGUCCUUUAAAAAUUAAAUUGUGUGUACUUUAACUUGAAUUUUCUGUCUGGGGCGGAAGUCUCAACCCUUCUGAGAAG
ensembl:lncRNA